rnacentral:rRNA from 1 species
GAUGAACGCUAGCGGCAGGCCUAAUACAUGCAAGUCGGACGGGAUUCAGGAGCUUGCUUCUGAUGAGAGUGGCGCACGGGUGCGUAACACGUAUGUAACCUACCUUUAUCAGGGGGAUAGCCUCUCGAAAGAGAGAUUAAGCCCGCAUAAAAUCACAGCACAGCAUUGUGUAAUGAUCAAAUAUUUAUAGGAUAAAGAUGGGCAUGCGGAACAUUAGCUAGAUGGCGGGGUAACGGCCCACCAUGGCGACGAUGUUUAGGGGAUCUGAGAGGAUGGCCCCCCACACUGGUACUGAGACACGGACCAGACUCCUACGGGAGGCAGCAGUAAGGAAUAUUGGGCAAUGGGCGGAAGCCUGAACCAGCCAUGCCGCGUACAGGAAGACGGCCCUACGGGUUGUAAACUGCUUUUAUACGGGAAUAAACCCAGAUACGUGUAUCUGGCUGAAUGUACUGGAAGAAUAAGGAUCGGCUAACCCCGUG